GACGAACGCUGGCGGCGUGCUUAACACAUGCAAGUCGAACGGAAAGGCCCUGCUUUUGUGGGGUGCUCGAGUGGCGAACGGGUGAGUAACACGUGAGUAACCUGCCCUUGACUUUGGGAUAACUUCAGGAAACUGGGGCUAAUACCGGAUAGGAGCUCCUGCUGCAUGGUGGGGGUUGGAAAGUUUCGGCGGUUGGGGAUGGACUCGCGGCUUAUCAGCUUGUUGGUGGGGUAGUGGCUUACCAAGGCUUUGACGGGUAGCCGGCCUGAGAGGGUGACCGGCCACAUUGGGACUGAGAUACGGCCCAGACUCCUACGGGAGGCAGCAGUGGGGAAUAUUGCACAAUGGGCGGAAGCCUGAUGCAGCAACGCCGCGUGCGGGAUGACGGCCUUCGGGUUGUAAACCGCUUUCGCCUGUGACGAAGCGUGAGUGACGGUAAUGGGUAAAGAAGCACCGGCUAACUACGUGCCAGCAGCCGCGGUGAUACGUAGGGUGCGAGCGUUGUCCGGAUUUAUUGGGCGUAAAGGGCUCGUAGGUGGUUGAUCGCGUCGGAAGUGUAAUCUUGGGGCUUAACCCUGAGCGUGCUUUCGAUACGGGUUGACUUGAGGAAGGUAGGGGAGAAUGGAAUUCCUGGUGGAGCGGUGGAAUGCGCAGAUAUCAGGAGGAACACCAGUGGCGAAGGCGGUUCUCUGGGCCUUUCCUGACGCUGAGGAGCGAAAGCGUGGGGAGCGAACAGGCUUAGAUACCCUGGUAGUCCACGCUGUAAACGGUGGGUACUAGGUGUGGGGUCCAUUCCACGGGUUCCGUGCCGUAGCUAACGCUUUAAGUACCCCGCCUGGGGAGUACGGCCGCAAGGCUAAAACUCAAAGGAAUUGACGGGGCCCCGCACAAGCGGCGGAGCAUGCGGAUUAAUUCGAUGCAACGCGUAGAACCUUACCUGGGUUUGACAUGGAUCGGGAGUGCUCAGAGAUGGGUGUGCCUCUUUUGGGGUCGGUGCACAGGUGGUGCAUGGCUGUCGUCAGCUCGUGUCGUGAGAUGUUGGGUUAAGUCCCGCAACGAGCGCAACCCUUGUUCACUGUUGCCAGCACGUUAUGGUGGGGACUCAGUGGAGACCGCCGGGGUCAACUCGGAGGAAGGUGGGGAUGACGUCAAGUCAUCAUGCCCCUUAUGUCCAGGGCUUCACGCAUGCUACAAUGGCUGGUACAGAGAGUGGCGAGCCUGUGAGGGUGAGCGAAUCUCGGAAAGCCGGUCUCAGUUCGGAUUGGGGUCUGCAACUCGACCUCAUGAAGUCGGAGUCGCUAGUAAUCGCAGAUCAGCAACGCUGCGGUGAAUACGUUCCCGGGGCU
rnacentral:rRNA from 1 species